CAAACACUGGGGACCUAGUAACUCCUUUAAAUCCGUCGACACAUUGAGCCUUUGCCGAAAGGGUUACAAAAUGCGACUAUCGACCAAAACAUGUUUUACCGCCAGAAUGACACGUUCUCCACUUCGAAUACAGCGAAGACAAGUUGGAAGUUUUUCAGAAAGCGUGGAGACUUGCCCUGAUGGUGUAUCACCCAGGUAAUUUAUUAUUUGAGCGAAAGAGAAUUUUCUUUGUCCGAACAAAAACGAUAGAUUGGUCGGAAACGUAGUGACUUGUAAAUGCUGGUCGCCUUAAUAAUCGCCUGUCACGCUGAUGAUGCGUCAGAAAUUGAACAACCCACUAGACAGGGAUCUCUUAGAUGAUUGAUGACGGAGAAUAAAAAAGUGGUUUUGACAAGCAAAAACGAACUCUCACCAGAAACCAAGAUCAGAAUGGCUCUUUUCUAAACACUACAGUACAUUAGUAGAUAGGCCGCGAUUGAAGUCUGCUUUAAAAUCUUUUAGAGAUUUAAGCUUAAAUGGAUUUAGAAAACCCUCAAUAGGGGUUUGGAGGAAAGGCAAACCCGGAACUAUUUAAGCUUUAGAAUCAUCAAAAGAAAGAUAUUGUGAAGUUGUAAAGAAGUUUAUUGCGCUUUAUUACAUAUUUCUUAAAUAAAUAAGAAUUUUGAUUAUAGGCUUAUAUAGGAUCAUUCGUAAAAUUACCGAGCUUGUACUGCAUUAUUCAUAAUUUUAUGGGUUGUUACUAGUCAUUUAUAUUUUGAAUUUUUUGAAU